GAAGGAAAGUAGAAAGCCUUGUUUCUCCGAUGUGAACUUGAAGAAGCUAGCCUCGGUGGCUGCAACUGCGAAAGCCUCCUCAAAGCAAACAAAUGACGAGUAGUUCCCGCUUCCUCUUUAGCAACGGUCUCGUUUCGCACUCCUCAACCACUCCUCCGGUGACCACCUUCCUGGAAUCUCAUCCAGGUGCUUACACAACUACACGAUCCCACAACAAUGGUUCCUGCCUCUUGUUCUGGGAUAGGCAUUUAAACAGACUCUCAAAUUCCGCCAGAAUUCUCUUCAAUUCAAACCCUCAUCUUCUCUUUAAUUUUCCCAAUUCUACAGAAAAAUCAUUAUCAUUACCACCGCUGCCGAUCUGGGAUUCGGCUGUUAAGGCUCUGGUUGAUGACUCCGCGAGGAAGGUGUUGCCAGUUGCAUUGAGAGAGAGGAAAGAUGGGGAGGAACUGGCAGUCACAGCUCUCGUAAGUGGAGAUUCCCAGAGGCUGAGAAAGAUUGAAAAUUUGAGCGGAAGAAGUGUUGUUGAGGUGCUUGAUGUGUGUGUGCAUAUUGCAAGUUAUGUUCCUCCGGUGUGUGGUUUAAGAGAAAAUGGAGCGCGUUUGGCAGUUGUCGGGCAUGGAAGGGAUAUUGCAGAAGCUAAAUAUUCAGAUUGGGUGAGGUUAAGGAAGCCUCUGGAGAAUCUGAGGCCUCCUUCAGUAACUGAGCUUUUGCUGUCAAAUGAUGGUGAUCAAAUCCUUGAAGGUUGCUUGACAAACUUUUUUGUUGUUUGUCGCAAGGAGAACAAUGAAACUAAGGGGAAAUAUUUUCACAAUAAUGAAAGUGCAUGUGAUGUAGAACAAGAACGAUCUGAUUUCAAUACUGCAGCAGCAUGUCCUUUUGAAGUGCAGACAGCUCCUAUUAGUGAUGGUGUCCUUCCUGGUGUUAUACGCCAACUAGUCAUCGAAGUCUGCAUAAGCAAAGGAAUCCCAGUUCGAGAAGUUGCCCCUUUGUGGUCAAGGCGGGAAUUCUGGCAAGAGGCUUUUAUUACAAGAAAUUCCUGAUUGCUGAAAUUUUACUGAUAGCUUGAGAAUUUUACAGCAUGUGGAGAAAAUUCAAGUCCCAAGUUCAUGGGAAUCAAUUGAACGAAAGACUCUUGAGGCAAUUUCUUGGGAAGAGAAGUGGUUUGGGGAAGAUCCUGGGAUGAUUACAGUAGCUAUACAGAAAGAGAUCAUGGAGAGAGCAAGUGUUGAAGGGUAUUUAUUGUAGGCCUGCGCGACGAGUGAAGAGUUCUUGCAUUUCAUACCUUUUCAGCUGGUAAGGUGGAUUAAAUUGUAUUAUCUUGAAUGAGGACCUGUGAACUUGGUUGUAAUUCAGAAGUUCACAAUGACUGUGUUUUGCUGGUUUUCUGUGCUGGGAAGCUGAAGAUUUCCCCCAUCAGUCUGCAGCUUUAAGCUUUCACGUUUUAUGGACUCAAACUAUAUUUCUCUGUUUGGUAUUAUAAUUUUUAUUAAAAUUAUUUAAUAUUUUAAUACUGUUAAA